UACAGAGGUGGCAAGCGUUGUUCGGAAUUACUGGGCGUAAAGGGCGCGUAGGCGGCCAUCUAAGUCAGACGUGAAAUCCCUCAGCUUAACUGGGGAACUGCGUCCGAUACUGGAUGGCUUGAGUUUGGGAGAGGGAUGCGGAAUUCCAGGUGUAGCGGUGAAAUGCGUAGAUAUCUGGAGGAACACCGGUGGCGAAGGCGGCAUCCUGGACCAACACUGACACUGAGGAGCGAAAGCCAGGGGAGCAAACGGG
rnacentral:rRNA from 1 species